GGGGUGUCUUGGUUUAUCUUCGUGGACAUGAAGGACGGGGCAUAGGUUUGGGCCACAAACUUCGUGCUUAUAACUUGCAAGAUGCGGGGCGGGAUACUGUCGAAGCCAAUGAGGAUCUGGGAUUGCCCGUGGAUUCUCGCGAAUAUGGCAUUGGUGCACAGAUUCUAAGGGAUCUUGGGGUGAGAACAAUGAAACUAAUGACAAACAACCCAACAAAGUACAAAGGCCUAAAGGGGUAUGGCUUAGAAGUUUCAGGUAGAGUUCCCCUGAUAACCCCAAUUACAAAGGACAACAAGAGAUACUUAGAGACAAAGCGCGCCAAAAUGGGGCAUGUCUACAACUUGGAUUUCGGAGGUAGAUUUAGAAAUCGGAUUGAUGAACAUGAAACAUCGAACGGUAGUGUUGCAUCAAGUGAUGCGAUGGCUUGAGCUAGCAAUGUCAAACAUUAAAA
rnacentral:misc_RNA from 1 species